CUCAGCCUACGGGAGGCAGCAGUGGGGAAUAUUGCACAAUGGGGGAAACCCUGAUGCAGCGACGCCGCGUGAGCGAAGAAGUAUUUCGGUAUGUAAAGCUCUAUCAGCAGGGAAGAAAAUGACGGUACCUGACUAAGAAGCCCCGGCUAAAUACGUGCCAGCAGCCGCGGUAAUACGUAUGGGGCAAGUGUUAUCCGGAUUUACUGGGUGUAAAGGGAGCGUAGGUGGCAUGGUAAGCCAGAAGUGAAAACCCGGGGCUCAACCCCGCGGAUUGCUUUUGGAACUAUCAGGCUGGAGUGCCGGAG
rnacentral:rRNA from 1 species